UUAGGUUGUAGGUAUCUUCUUGUCGUCGCUUUUAAUUGGAAAAAGUUGGUGACUGAGCAUAUCUAUUUCUCGUUGCGUUUCUUUUACUAGCUUCUGUGUGACGAUUGUCGUUUUAUUGGAGACGUAUUUGUGUAUUAUAUAUGGUAGCCACGUGGUUUAAUUUUAUUUUAGGGAAUGGCGGUUACAAACAAUUUGAAUCGGGAAGGAAAUUGUUAGAUAACGAAACGUUGUUUCAGUUUAUGUAAGGCUUACUUGAUAUGUGGCGUUGGUUGUCUGAAAAGACUUAAUUGUAGGCAAAAAUAAUAUACACAUGCAGGAGUUAGGGAUAGGAGAUGAAAUUGUUGUAAUUCGUGGUAUGCUUAUGAUGAUACUGUUGUCUCGUUCGUAUGAAACGCUGUGAAUAAAAUUAGUUGCUGAGUUGUUGAAUAGCUUAGCGAGUAUGAAGUUUAUUCCUAAUGUAGCUAAUUCUCUAACGUUGUUUUAGUUGGCAGUCGUGUGGCAUAAUGCAAGAAAUGGUCCGUCCGAAGCCAUAAUGCCAGCACAUACAUGCGUAACAAAGCGAAGGCGUCGAAAUACUAUCUGCUGUAGCAAAUGCUUGCGUAUCGUUUGGGGCAUGUCUCACUGCCGCCCGGAUUCGCAGGACCAACUCGAAACCUGUGCAUCCACUUUCCGACAUGAGUUUUGGUGCUUCCAGAAAGAUGGACAUUGGCGAUCGUGAACAGCUCCUUGCAGCUGCGCUACUGGUUGUGCUUGUGUCAAGGUGGAUUUGCCACCAUUGGUGGUACUGUGGUUGCCAUAAGGCUUAUGAAAAAGGUGUAGCCAAGUGAUGAGAACGAGAGAUCUCUUUGAGUUACCUAGCACUUGUUUCGUGCAUUGUAUUGGGUGAUGGAAAUAAAUGUAAAUGUGUAGCUAAGAGCUCUUGAUACUGGGUAGAGCAGUGCUGGUGAACCUGUGAAGUCUUGUUGGAAAUCAGUUACAGGACAUUUUUGGCUGGACUGUGAAAUACUACUUGGAGAAACUGGCUGGGGUCAAAUUCGGAGUUCAGGAAACUUUGCAGUUCAUGUCAGUUAUUGGCAUUUAAACAUAAGACUUUUCACUCAUUUGAUGGUUUGCCUAAUUGCCAGUCUGGGGAUGUGUAGUAAGAAAGUUUCAUUGAAUUACACUGGCAGUCAAAACUACAGUGUGGUGUGGUGAGUGCUGUUUAAGACAGUGUCACAGGCAAGAUGUGUAAUAUGCUGUGUGGAAAGGCAAACUAAUACACUUUAAGAAGAAACCCAUAUCCUGAAACACAUGGCCUUGGUGUUGGUCAGUGUCGGGGGAACAAUCUUUUGGCAGUUCGUUCAGAUCUGUUCUGGUGUCUGAAUGUGGGAGGUAUGCAGCCCUUUCGGCCAUCUGUGUACUGUGGCCUGAGCCUAAUAACAUUCCUGUGCAUGAACUAAAUUCCUCCUUAGUCUUAGUGUGCAUCCUAUUGUGGACAUUACGUGGUCUGCCAGUGCAGUUGGGUUGACAGCACUGUGACAGCUAUCAGUACACAGCUGUGGAAAUGGUACACGGUGCUUUCCUCAAGCAAAAUGGAUUCCAGUGGGAGAGCUAAUGCAAGAUUAUAUGUGGAAUAUUUUCCAAAUAAUUGUCCCCACAUCACUGCAUGUUCGAAGCUAUAAACACAUCUGAGUUGCACACAGGUAUUUUCUGCCAUACGGAUACAAUGUACAGUACUUGGUACUUACAAAUGCUAUCCUCAGGCUACCAUUUCUUGUGGUAGCUGCCAAAACAUGAGGGGGUCAUUCAUACUUGACUAGCAGUAAGUUACAGUGGUUUGAUUUGUGGAUGAAUGCACAUUUACUAGACACAUGGUCAACUUUUGGAAGAUCAUAAUCUUUGUGCAAGGUUGGUAUUCACAGCUGGCCUGAGAUGUGACUUAUCACAUUGGACCAUUUCUUCCACCAGACUAAUGGGACUGAUUUAUUUCACAUUUAUUAAAGGUAUUUUGCUUAUCCUGUAGGAUGUAGCACCAGUAAAUGUUGCUGCAAUAUGACUGAACUACAGCACAGUUCAGUCGAUGUGCAGAAUGACUGUCACAUAUCCCAAUCCAGUCAGUGGGUUGUUAGAGGUGGACCAGUUCAAUUACCAUACUUGACGCCUCUAUUUUCUGUUGGGUAACAUGAAGUGUAUGGUACACCUGUAACAUAUUUGGAUGUUAUUGUAGUCCUCAGAAAUAGAAGUAUUUAGCUGCACAUAUUGGCUCAUGUAUGUAAGGUUUAGCACUGCUGAAGUAUGAAGUGCAUUGACGUAGGCAGAACACAAUUGUAAUGUAAAUGGCAGUGUGCAGGUCCUGUUGGAUUUAUUUGAUCUGGAAUGCAUAACAAUCUCGGACUUAAGUGCUCUCCAGUGCCCAAACUGUAUCAGUAUAUGGUUCCGUCUCUAGAACUGCUCAGUGUACCACACAAAACAUUAAGUAUUGUCAGUUUUUGUUAUAACCUGUGUAAUGUCAAAUGUGCUAGUGGUUUGCAACUGCUGAAAGAGUAUUAAGAGUUGGACAACAGAUUUGAAUGUUUUGCAGUUAGUCAAAUGGUGUAGUGUAAUGUCUAGGUUGCUUUGAAUAUACAAAUCAGGGGAGUGGGGUAUUGAGUGUAGCAGGCUGGAAAGAUGUUUUGAUGAAUUGGCAUGAACUGUGAAGUUUACCAUUGCUUACAUUCAGUGGGACUGUACAUUCGGAAAUGGAUUUGGAGGUGUAUGUUGGAGUAUGCUUGGCACAUAUUGAAUUUGUGCUGUCUCUAAGGUGUCUGCCCUUUCAGGUAUGUAAUUGAAACUCCCAGUUGUGCUUCCAGAUGUUGUUUACUGUUAAUGAUGAACAACAAACACUGCCCUAGUCAAUCUGAAGAAAUGAUGUUGAAAGAUUCUGAUAUCAUUAAAUUUUCUUUUCAUUUGAUGAUGCUAGAGGAAUUGUGCUUAUUUCAUGAUUCUUGUUCCAGGUAUACAUGUUCAUUGUUAUUGAAAGUCAACAAGAAUGUAAUUGUCAGCAAAGUAAUAAUUUUUGUUUGUGACACUAGUGUGUUCCACUUGUAAAGUAUUGGUCAAUAAAGAUUUCAGUUGAAAA